rnacentral:lncRNA from 1 species
AGAUUAUUUUUUUCAGCUCUUUUCAGUUGAAUCAACGUCCCGUUAUUCUUCGUCUGACCAGAACGGAGAAGUUUUCUCAACGAUUUCGUACACGGCUGAUUCGUCUCGAUUUCGGACAAAGUGCUGCGAAUGUAAAUUUCAAUAUAAAACGGUGCACCAACGUUGUCCACAGACAUCUGGGCCUCGUCGAAUAUCCAUUGAAAAACGAACAACGGAGCUGCGUAUUCGUAAAGAUAAACUUUUUAAAAUCAUUUUAUCGAUUUUUAAUGAUAUGUUUUUAUCCGACAUUGAUUAGCAAUUUUUACUUGUUUGCUUUAGAAGUAUCGUUUCCCUUCGAAGCUAAUCAAUUUGUAUUACUCACCAGUCAAAGUCGGAUAGAGCCGAUAACCGAAGUAACAUCUCCAAGGCUCGUCAGGAUGCUUAACAACGCAAUUGUGUGGUAUACGUGCUUUCCAAAGUUCCAUUCCCUUGUGAACUGCAUCGACAGGUGAUAAACCAUUCGGAGAGUACGGUGCUCUGUCAAGAAACCAGCCUGAAUCUGAGACACCACGUAUAGCUACGUUUUUUAAUCCUACAAAAUGAAAUUAUUGAAUCAAUUUAAAAA